GAUGAACGCUGGCGGCGUGCCUAAUACAUGCAAGUCGAGCGAACGGACGAGAAGCUUGCUUCUCUGAUGUUAGCGGCGGACGGGUGAGUAACACGUGGAUAACCUACCUAUAAGACUGGGAUAACUUCGGGAAACCGGAGCUAAUACCGGAUAAUAUUUUGAACCGCAUGGUUCAAAAGUGAAAGACGGUCUUGCUGUCACUUAUAGAUGGAUCCGCGCUGCAUUAGCUAGUUGGUAAGGUAACGGCUUACCAAGGCAACGAUGCAUAGCCGACCUGAGAGGGUGAUCGGCCACACUGGAACUGAGACACGGUCCAGACUCCUACGGGAGGCAGCAGUAGGGAAUCUUCCGCAAUGGGCGAAAGCCUGACGGAGCAACGCCGCGUGAGUGAUGAAGGUCUUCGGAUCGUAAAACUCUGUUAUUAGGGAAGAACAUAUGUGUAAGUAACUGUGCACAUCUUGACGGUACCUAAUCAGAAAGCCACGGCUAACUACGUGCCAGCAGCCGCGGUAAUACGUAGGUGGCAAGCGUUAUCCGGAAUUAUUGGGCGUAAAGCGCGCGUAGGCGGUUUUUUAAGUCUGAUGUGAAAGCCCACGGCUCAACCGUGGAGGGUCAUUGGAAACUGGAAAACUUGAGUGCAGAAGAGGAAAGUGGAAUUCCAUGUGUAGCGGUGAAAUGCACAGAGAUAUGGAGGAACACCAGUGGCGAAGGCGACUUUCUGGUCUGUAACUGACGCUGAUGUGCGAAAGCGUGGGGAUCAAACAGGAUUAGAUACCCUGGUAGUCCACGCCGUAAACGAUGAGUGCUAAGUGUUAGGGGGUUUCCGCCCCCUAGUGCUGCAGCUAACGCAUUAAGCACUCCGCCUGGGGAGUACGACCGCAAGGUUGAAACUCAAAGGAAUUGACGGGGACCCGCACAAGCGGUGGAGCAUGUGGUUUAAUUCGAAGCAACGCGAAGAACCUUACCAAAUCUUGACAUCCUUUGACAACUCUAGAGAUAGAGCCUUCCCCUUCGGGGGACAAAGUGACAGGUGGUGCAUGGUUGUCGUCAGCUCGUGUCGUGAGAUGUUGGGUUAAGUCCCGCAACGAGCGCAGCCCUUAAGCUUAGUUGCCAUCAUUAAGUUGGGCACUCUAAGUUGACUGCCGGUGACAAACCGGAGGAAGGUGGGGAUGACGUCAAAUCAUCAUGCCCCUUAUGAUUUGGGCUACACACGUGCUACAAUGGACAAUACAAAGGGCAGCGAAACCGCGAGGUCAAGCAAAUCCCAUAAAGUUGUUCUCAGUUCGGAUUGUAGUCUGCAACUCGACUACAUGAAGCUGGAAUCGCUAGUAAUCGUAGAUCAGCAUGCUACGGUGAAUACGUUCCCGGGUCU
rnacentral:rRNA from 1 species